GAAAUGCGAUAAGUAAUGUGAAUUGCAGAAUUCCGUGAAUCAUUAAAUCUUUGAACGCACAUUGCGCCCUCUGGUAUUCCUAAGGGCAUGCCUGUUCGAGAAUCAGUUUAACCAUCAAACCUAUAGGGUAAAACCUUUAUGUUUGGACUUGGGACUUCUGGAUACAGAGACCCUAAUAACAUCUGUUGCCUAGCUCCUACAAAGCUAUGUGAAAGGCAUGACCAUUGAACGCAAGUUCUUAUGAUUGCUCCUAGCAUUUCCUAGUUGGUUUUAGCGCACAAUAAAACUUUACGGAGAGGAAACUCUUUAAGACUUGAUCUCGAAUCAGACAAGACUACCCGCUGAACUUAA
rnacentral:misc_RNA from 1 species